GCCCCGUGGUGUAAUGGUAGCACACGACGAUUAAGCAUCAGGUCCCAGGUUCGACUCCGGGCAGUGGCA
rnacentral:tRNA from 1 species